AACGCUGGCGGCGUGCUUAACACAUGCAAGUCGAACGGAAAGGCCCUGCUUUUGUGGGGUGCUCGAGUGGCGAACGGGUGAGUAACACGUGAGUAACCUGCCCUUGACUUUGGGAUAACUUCAGGAAACUGGGGCUAAUACCGGAUAGGAGCUCCUGCUGCAUGGUGGGGGUUGGAAAGUUUCGGCGGUUGGGGAUGGACUCGCGGCUUAUCAGCUUGUUGGUGGGGUAGUGGCUUACCAAGGCUUUGACGGGUAGCCGGCCUGAGAGGGUGACCGGCCACAUUGGGACUGAGAUACGGCCCAGACUCCUACGGGAGGCAGCAGUGGGGAAUAUUGCACAAUGGGCGGAAGCCUGAUGCAGCAACGCCGCGUGCGGGAUGACGGCCUUCGGGUUGUAAACCGCUUUCGCCUGUGACGAAGCGUGAGUGACGGUAAUGGGUAAAGAAGCACCGGCUAACUACGUGCCAGCAGCCGCGGUGAUACGUAGGGUGCGAGCGUUGUCCGGAUUUAUUGGGCGUAAAGGGCUCGUAGGUGGUUGAUCGCGUCGGAAGUGUAAUCUUGGGGCUUAACCCUGAGCGUGCUUUCGAUACGGGUUGACUUGAGGAAGGUAGGGGAGAAUGGAAUUCCUGGUGGAGCGGUGGAAUGCGCAGAUAUCAGGAGGAACACCAGUGGCGAAGGCGGUUCUCUGGGCCUUUCCUGACGCUGAGGAGCGAAAGCGUGGGGAGCGAACAGGCUUAGAUACCCUGGUAGUCCACGCUGUAAACGGUGGGUACUAGGUGUGGGGUCCAUUCCACGGGUUCCGUGCCGUAGCUAACGCUUUAAGUACCCCGCCUGGGGAGUACGGCCGCAAGGCUAAAACUCAAAGGAAUUGACGGGGCCCCGCACAAGCGGCGGAGCAUGCGGAUUAAUUCGAUGCAACGCGUAGAACCUUACCUGGGUUUGACAUGGAUCGGGAGUGCUCAGAGAUGGGUGUGCCUCUUUUGGGGUCGGUUCACAGGUGGUGCAUGGCUGUCGUCAGCUCGUGUCGUGAGAUGUUGGGUUAAGUCCCGCAACGAGCGCAACCCUUGUUCACUGUUGCCAGCACGUUAUGGUGGGGACUCAGUGGAGACCGCCGGGGUCAACUCGGAGGAAGGUGGGGAUGACGUCAAGUCAUCAUGCCCCUUAUGUCCAGGGCUUCACGCAUGCUACAAUGGCUGGUACAGAGAGUGGCGAGCCUGUGAGGGUGAGCGAAUCUCGGAAAGCCGGUCUCAGUUCGGAUUGGGGUCUGCAACUCGACCUCAUGAAGUCGGAGUCGCUAGUAAUCGCAGAUCAGCAACGCUGCGGUGAAUACGUUCCCGGGGCUUGUACACACCGCCCGUCAAGUCAUGAAAGUUGGUAACACCCGAAGCCGGUGGCCUAACCGUUGUGGGGGAGCCGUCGAAGGUGGGACUGGUGAUUA
rnacentral:rRNA from 1 species